GCUCCUGUAGCUCAGCGGUUUAGAGCGUCGUGCUUAUACUUACACGUAUACCAGAGGCACACGAAGGUCGCGAGUUCGAUCCUCGCCUGGAGCA